rnacentral:tRNA from 1 species
GGGGGCAUGAUGGAAAGGCAUACAUGGAGGUCUUAAAAACCUCUGGCGCAAGCCAUGAGGGUUCGAAUCCCUCUGCCCCCACCA